rnacentral:rRNA from 1 species
GAUGAACGCUGGCGUCGUGCCUAAUACAUGCAAGUCGAGCGAACAGACGAGGAGCUUGCUCCUCUGACGUUAGCGGCGGACGGGUGAGUAACACGUGGAUAACCUACCUAUAAGACUGGGAUAACUUCGGGAAACCGGAGCUAAUACCGGAUAAUAUAUUGAACCGCAGGGUUCAAUAGUGAAAGACGGUUUUGCUGUCACUUAUAGAUGGAUCCGCGCCGCAUUAGCUAGUUGGUAAGUUAACGGCUUACCAAGGCAACGAUGCGUAGCCGACCUGAGAGGGUGAUCGGCCACACUGGAACUGAGACACGGUCCAGACUCCUACGGGAGGCAGCAGUAGGCAAUCUUCCGCAAUGGGCGAAAGCCUGACGGAGCAACGCCGCGUGAGUGAUGAAGGUCUUCGGAUCGUAAAGCUCUGUUAUUAGGGAAGAACAAAUGUGUAAGUAAAUAUGCACGUCUUGACGGUACCUAAUCAGAAAGCCACGGCUAACUACGUG